CGCACCACAAACUGUACCCAACAAUCUUGUACUCAAUCUUUUUCACAAAGUCCCCAAGGCAACUCCUGAAAAAGCAAGGAACCCACUCAAGUCUGUACUCGAAGACCUUUUAGUUUCUUUAAGAAGAAGAUCUUGAAUAUAGCUAAAGCAAUAUGUUCCAACCCAUUAGCAAUAGCGUUGCAAAGUUUUGGGUAUGUAAACGAUAGAAAAAAAAAAAAAGGCAAAAAUGCCUCUUGGCUAUUUUUGUUGUUUUCCCUUACCUGAAAACAUCUUCUACCUAUUUUCCCUUAUCUGAAAACGUCUUCUACCUAUUUUCCCUUAUCUGAAAACGUCUUCUUGAGCCUCUUGGCUAUUUUCCGAGCACCGUCUCGCUUAAUAACACCAUUAUUCUCACAUUGUUGCAAUUUUAUU
rnacentral:lncRNA from 1 species